UAUAGAGGCUACCUAAUGUCUCACUCAAAAAGAAAUGGUCGUGACAAUGCAUGUGAGAAGACUUCAUACAUGUUUCUGCGGAAAGAACUUCCUGUGCGACUAGCUAACACCAUGAGAGAAGUCAAUUUGUUGCCUGAUAACUUACUUAACAGGCCUUCAGUUGGGCUAGUACAGAGUUGGUACAUGCAGAGUUUCCUUGAGCUUUUAGAAUAUGAAAAUAAAAGUCCUGAGGAUCCUCAUGUUCUGGAUGACUUUUUAGAUGUUUUAAUUAAAGUCAGGAACAGACACAAUGACGUGGUUCCAACUAUGGCGCAAGGGGUGAUUGAAUACAAGGAAAAAUAUGGCUUCGAUCCAUUUGUUAGCAGUAACAUCCAGUAUUUUCUAGAUAGAUUCUACACCAACCGCAUCUCUUUCCGUAUGCUUAUUAACCAACACACACUUCUUUUUGGUGGAGAUAUUAAUCCUGCUCAUCCCAAACAUAUUGGAAGUAUUGAUCCUAAUUGUAAUGUGGCAGAGGUGGUUAAAGAUGCUUAUGAAACAGCUAAGAUGUUAUGUGAACAGUACUAUCUGGUGGCACCUGAUCUGGAGGUUGAAGAAUUCAAUGCUAAAGCUCCAAACAAGCCUAUUCAAGUAGUCUAUGUACCUUCUCAUUUGUUUCAUAUGCUAUUUGAAUUAUUCAAGAAUUCAAUGAGAGCUACAGUCGAAUUGCAUGAAGGUAAGAGAGAAGCCUAUCCAUCGAUCAAAACCUUAGUCACUUUGGGGAAAGAAGAUCUGUCUAUUAAGAUAAGUGAUCAAGGUGGAGGUGUACCUUUAAGAAAAAUAGACAGAUUGUUUAACUACAUGUACUCAACAGCACCCAGGCCUAGUUUGGAGCCUUCGAGAGCUGUGCCUUUGGCUGGGUUUGGCUAUGGCUUGCCAAUUUCUCGUCUGUAUGCCAGGUACUUUCAAGGUGACCUUAAACUCUACUCAAUGGAAGGCGUUGGUUCAGAUGCUGUAAUUUAUUUGAAGGCCCUUUCAAGUGAAUCAUUUGAAAGACUUCCUGUUUUUAAUAAGUCAGCAUGGCGACACUACAAGACCACACCUGAAGCAGAUGACUGGAGCAAUCCUAGCAGUGAACCAAGGGAUGCUUCUAAAUAUAAAGCUAAUCGAUAAUUUGCCACCUUUUGUCUCUGUUGGAGAUGACCUCUGCAUUCAGUAUAAAGUCUCUGCUUUGUUCCAAAAUCCUUCAAACCACAAUAGCUAAUUACUUCCAAACAAAGACCUAAUCAGGGCAUUGAAAAAUACCAAGAACAAAGUGAUGAUUGGGACUUAAAGGAAGGCACUAAGCACGUUUGCACAUUUCAUCGAAGGAUUACGAAGUGCUCUGAGCAAUAAACUUCAUUCAGCCCCAUUUCUGAAGAGUCGGAGUCCUUGCCUUGCAAACGCUCGCUCUUACCUGUUGCAGUCAGCUCGAGAAUUUGUGCGUGAGUAGUUCGUGAGGUUCCGCGGGCUUCGCUACGCCGCGCAGUUCAGCCGCGUUGGAGCGCCAGGUUGUUGUUCACGCGCUCUCACAGGCGGCUCUGCGGGGCGCUGCCGUGCUCUUCAGGGGCGGAGAUCCCCGGGAGGCUGCUGAAGGCUGCCUGACUUGUCAGCUGGCAAGCAGGCACUACCCUGGCUAGGGGAUCUUUACGUGGUGUGGUGAGGGUGUAACGCCUGUGGCCUCCAGAGCAAUAAUUUCCCACGACGGCAGGCGCUGCUGCGCAGAAGGCAAAUUGCUAUCCAUUUGCGAGUGCUGUAUAUCAGCAUCAGUUGCUAUCAGCGACACAGCGAUGCUGCUGAGGUGAAAUCAGAGUAGUGGCUUGACUGAAACACCAGUGGGAAGUCACAUCUCCUAAAAUUUAGUCACUUAACUUCUGCCCUCACCUGUAAGUUCUUACUGUUUUUUAAAUUCAUUUCAAGAUGUGUAUGUUUUCUAGUAAUCGCAGAGGAGGGCUUGCUUAGAAAUAGAAACUUGUGAUGAGACUAAUAUUUUCCCAGUUGCACGUGGUCAGUUUCUUCCUAGAACCUUACCUAAAGCAUUCCAAGGACUAAGAUAGUUUGUGUAAGAAGCUGAGUUGCCGCUUUUGUUAGAAAUCGUAUUUCAAAGUAGUAAAUCCUAACCUGGUGCUUCUUUUUGGCUGUCUCCUGAUACAUGAAGAGGAGAGGGGAUGGAAAGAAAAGAAAGGAUGCAGGCGUAUGGAACUCGUUUUCAUGAAGUGAAUUUAAACCUUGGAAACCAGUGAAUGAAAGCUGAAGACACCAAGGAGGAUGUGAUGAUGUUAGUCAUUUCACUUCUUUAUUCACAAAAACAACGGGCUGGCUUUCAGGACCAAAGUGCUCUAGCACUUGAGAACUGAAGUCCUCUGAAACGGCUCCUAUUUCCAGGAACCCUGAGCAUGUAGGAACAGCUCAAAGCAAGGAAGGUAGAGCACAAGGAAUGCAUUUUCUUUACAUUUCCCAAGAUCUUUUGUGGGCAUUAUGGUAAAUACGAGCAAGAAGCGACUUUUCCCCUCUCCAACCUUGUCUAGGCAGCCUGUGCUUUAGUGGAGACCCCAGGUAUGCCAUAAAUUGCUCUUCACUCGUUGCCCUCAUGCCAUGUUUCCACAUGGGGGCAUUAGUCUGAAAACCGUCCUGGGAAACAGCAGCAGCAGGCCUUCAACUAGAAGAGAGUUUUCCAGUGCGUAUGCCUGAGAAAUGAGGGUGGACAGGUUUUUAAUACGGCUAGUUUACCUACAGAUACUGAUCUUUUUUCAGUUACUUCUACCUUUGGAGUCUGUUAUAACUAUUUGUUUUCAUGUCUUGGAGCUGUUAAUUCCAAACUUCCUGACGAUGUAAAAGUGUAUUUCUUCUUUAAUGGAUUUCACAUGUGUGGCUUGCUGAUGUUACUGCAACCUGCUUGUCUUGAGUUACAGGACACAUAAAUAGAAAAAAAACGUUUUCAGUGAAAAUGCUUCCUAUGCGUUGUGUUUAGAGGUUAACAGAAACAAACUCAGCAAGAGCUUCUUGCUUCUCCGUUCUUCCUGAGAAUUUACAAACAACUUCUGUGUCUUGUAGUGCAACAAACUGUUUAACUUUUUUGUCCGGUGUGCUUUUUUCUGGUGGGUGUGUGUCUUGAACGUAAUCUAUUAAUCCCCUGUCUAGUGUAAUAUCAGUACAUGCUGAAGGCUUUCCAAACCAGACACAUAUUUGUGCUCCCUGCUUUUCUAGGCUUUGUUUUGAGGCUAACAAGGGGCCUUUCAGAGUCAGCACUUGAGAAAUACUCGGAAGAUACCAAAAUGCUGCUUCUACAGCUUAAAGGCACAGCUUAAAGGCACAGUCUUUGCCUCCAUUCUUGACCGUGGUGGCCUGGGAUAGUAGUGAGAAAGCCCUUGUCCUGCUGCAGUUGGUGCUACCUCGUGGGCGGUGUUUCGAGCAGGUGCCUUGGCACACGCUUAAAGAUUAUGGAUAUUAAUUGUAGCGCUCUUGGAAAACUCCAGCUACGCUUUGGCGAUGCAAACUACGCUUGCAGCUCCGCGUGGGUAACAUACUUUUCUUUGUCCUCAGUGGUGGGUAGGAUUUGCUUUGAAGCAGCUGUUUGCUUCCUCC